AGUUUGAUCAUGGCUCAGAACGAACGCUGGCGGCAGGCUUAACACAUGCAAGUCGAGCGCCCCGCAAGGGGAGCGGCAGACGGGUGAGUAACGCGUGGGAACGUACCCUUCAGUUCGGAAUAACUCAGGGAAACUUGGGCUAAUACCGGAUACGUCCGAGAGGAGAAAGAUUUAUCGCUGAAGGAUCGGCCCGCGUUGGAUUAGCUAGUUGGUGGGGUAAUGGCCUACCAAGGCGACGAUCCAUAGCUGGUCUGAGAGGAUGAUCAGCCACACUGGGACUGAGACACGGCCCAGACUCCUACGGGAGGCAGCAGUGGGGAAUAUUGGACAAUGGGCGAAAGCCUGAUCCAGCCAUGCCGCGUGAGUGAUGAAGGCCCUAGGGUUGUAAAGCUCUUUCAGUGGGGAAGAUAAUGACGGUACCCACAGAAGAAGCCCCGGCUAACUUCGUG
rnacentral:rRNA from 1 species